CCAAAUGCUGGUUGUAAUGUUUUCUACACUGGGGUAAUCCUCAGCAGGCAGCAGGACACUGGGAAGUUGAAGGGCUAUCAUUACAUGUCACAUACAGUUGGUUACAGUGCAGUGGUUCACCGCAUGCCUUCUAUUUAGAACCUCCUGACCCCUGACCCCUGCUCACCCUACUGUUUGCCCACAGAGGGUGAAGGUUGAUGGGGUGUGUGAGGGGGGUGUGUCCUCUGCCCCGGGCGCCAGUCCUGUUGAUGGAGGUGGAGGCAGUGAGAGAGACAUGCUUUGCCCUGCUAGGACCUGUGAGGGGGACAGAGGAGGUGGAGGGGUGCAAGCUACCAGGACCUAUGACUCCAUGAUGUCACACAACCCUAACUACCUGCUCAGCCAGCCCCUAGACCAUCCCCCAUCAGAGACCUAGGGUUGCUACGGACGUUGACAAGCUGUGGCAGGGCAGUGUAGCAGAGUUGACCCCCGUGCUCUCAUGCCCUUCUGGCCCUUCCUCCAAACGGAAGUGUACUGACUCCUCCCACCUCCACGUCAGGGUUCCGAUGCCCCUCCCACUCCGCAGUGUGGUCCUGAUCCCAGUCCAGUCCAUCCCAUUUCAGUGUGGUCCUGAUGCCAGUCCUGUCCAUUCCAUUUCAGUGUGGUCCUGAUCCCAGUCCUGUCCAUCCCAUUUCAGUGUGGUCCUGAUCCCAGUCCAGUCCAUUCCAUUUCAG
ensembl:lncRNA